AUUGAACGCUGGCGGCAUGCUUUACACAUGCAAGUCGAACGGCAGCGCGGGGGCAACCCUGGCGGCGAGUGGCGAACGGGUGAGUAAUGCAUCGGAACGUAUCCUGUAAUGGGGGAUAACGUAGCGAAAGUUACGCUAAUACCGCAUACGCUCGAGAGAGGAAAGUGGGGGAUCGCAAGACCUCACGUUAUAGGAGCGGCCGAUGUCCGAUUAGCUAGUUGGUGGGGUAAAGGCCUACCAAGGCGACGAUCGGUAGCUGGUCUGAGAGGAUGAUCAGCCACACUGGGACUGAGACACGGCCCAGUCUCCUACGGGAGGCAGCAGUGGGGAAUUUUGGACAAUGGGCGAAAGCCUGAUCCAGCCAUGCCGCGUGCGGGAAGAAGGCC
rnacentral:rRNA from 1 species